rnacentral:misc_RNA from 1 species
AACGCACAUUGCGCCCUCUGGUAUUCCGGAGGGCAUGCCUGUUUGAGUGUCAUUAAUCUCUCACAAGACCAUUUGGUUUCAAACCGUCUGGUCUCUGUCGAAGUUGGGACUUGCGACCUCUCGAGUUCGCUCUCCUCAAAUGUAUUGGUGCGGCCCGCCGCCCGGUUACACAACGUUCUAGGUUCGUCCAACUCGUUGCUCUCCGGUGCAUUCAUGGUGCUGCACCUUAAGCCCGCCUGGUGCCUUGUGCUCCUUGCUAAUUCAUUUAUUGACCUCAGAUCAGGUAGGAAUACGCGCUGAACUUAA